CGAGAAUGAUACUAAUUAUGAAGAAGAAGUGGGAGGUUGCUGAUGAGUUUGACAGCGACUUUGAUGAAGAUGAUACUCCAGGUAAUGAAACAUAAUGACACUUAACACUCCCUUUUGGAAGAAUACCUUCUAAUAGAGAGAGAUGAAGAAAGCUCCGAGAUUUCCAGAAGUGGAGAGGUUUCUCUUUUUCCUCACCUUUUUCAAAUGAAAAAGAGGCUUUGGGAGUCAUGGGAGAGGAUAUGAAGGAUACAAAGGUGUCCACGGAUGGCAAAUUAGUCCUCGAUUUCAUAGAAGCCAUUCAUGCUGUUGAAAGAAACCAGGCUGAAUUAGAUGCUCGCAUAUAUAGUGAAGAAAAGAGACUGUUGAAGGUAGAAAAUUGAUCCAAAACGGUCAAUGCUGUUUGAUGAAGGAUACAUUCGGGGAGUUUCGAAGGAUUCAAUCUACAUGAAGACACUUUUGGGGUUGGAACUGGUGCUCCCGUCUAUUUGGCUGCUGUUCUUGAGUACUUGGCAGCUGAGGUUUUGGAGCUGGCUGGGAAUGUUGCUAGAGACAA